rnacentral:rRNA from 1 species
AACGAACGCUGGCGGCAUGCCUAACACAUGCAAGUCGAACGGGAUCCAGGCUUCGGCCUGGUGAGAGUGGCGGACGGGUGAGUAACGCGUGGGAACCUGCCCAAUGGGUCUGGGAUAACCGCGGGAAACUGCGGCUAAUACCGGAUAAGCCCGAGAGGGAAGAUUAUCGCCGAUGGAGGGCCCGCGUCAGAUUAGGUAGUUGGUGGGGUAAGUGGGCCUACCC